rnacentral:lncRNA from 1 species
GAGGCAAGAAGAAAUAGAACGUUACAGUCCUCUGGGACUCUGAGCCCUUGACCAUGACCUUCUGGAUGUGGCCAUCCAACCAAUUCCUAAUCCACCUAACAGUCCGCCCAUUGAUUCCAUCUCUCUUGGAGAAAAGGAUGUUGUGGGGGACCUACAACAUAGUGUGUCAUAGGCUUUACAGACGUCCAGAUAAAUGACAUCUGUUACCCUUCUCUUGUCCACUGAUGUAGUCACCCCAUCAUAGAAGGCUUCUGGGCUGGUGUCAUGAUCCACAAGGCGGGAUUUGUGAUGUGGUUCUUUUAUUCAAUCUCAGAGUACAAAAGAUUAUCAGCAAACCAGGGACUCAAACAGCAAAACACACUUUAUUGAGUGCUCAUCAGCACUAAUAUGCAAUAGAGGGAAAAGAGGAGAAAGCAAAGCAUAAGAAAAAGAGAAUAAGGGGAUUAUAGCUACCAAUGUCAAACUCCACUCAGCCGUCCAUCAACCCGGAGUCUUCUGUCUGUUGGGGAGAUUUCAAAGGAAGGCAGCAGAGCCACCCUGUGACUUGGGGAAUACUCGCAUCAGUAGGUGGAGCUGUACCGCGCAGCAGGAGCUCACUUGGAUGCUCUGGGUUACAUCCACAUUACCACUGGCAUGGCGUUGUUACAGAUCGGGGGAGUGCGUUUGAAGAAAACCUGGCAGCUGUCCCUGACGCGCUGCACUUUGACCCGCAGCGCAGAGCGGAGGGGACAGCAGUUUGUGUGAUCCUGACCGACCCGACCCUUCCCAUUAGUAGAACAGAGCCUUAGAUUAGGGAGUCCCCAGCAUAAAACUGUUUGCUGAG